GGGCUCUUUUGGGUCCUAUAAUUGGAAUGAGUACAAUUUAAAUCCCUUAACGAGGAUCAAUUGGAGGGCAAGUCUGGUGCCAGCAGCCGCGGUAAUUCCAGCUCCAAUAGCGUAUAUUAAAGUUGUUGCCGUUAAAAAGCUCGUAGUCGAACUUCGGCCUCUGCCGCCCGGUCCGCCUAAUUGGGUGUGUACUGGAGCGGUGGAGGCUUACCUCGUGGUGAACGGCCAUGCCCUUUACUGGGUGUGGUCGGGAACCAUGACCUUUACUGUGAAAAAAUUAGAGUGUUCAAAGCAGGCUUACGCCCGAAUACAUUAGCAUGGAAUAAUAAAAUAGGACGUGCGGUCCUAUUUUGUUGGUUUCUAGGAUCGCCGUAAUGAUUAAUAGGGAUAGUUGGGGGCAUUCGUAUUCAAUUGUCAGAGGUGAAAUUCUUGGAUUUAUUGAAGACGAACUACUGCGAAAGCAUUUGCCAAGGAUGUUUUCAUUGAUCAAGAACGAAGGUUAGGGGAUCGAAAACGAUCAGAUACCGUUGUAGUCUUAACAGUAAACGAUGCCGACUAGGGAUCGGAUGAGGCUUUUAAUGACUCAUUCGGCACCUGAAGAGAAAUCUUUAAGUCAGGUUCGGGGGGGAGUAUGGUCGCAAGGCUGAAACUUAAAGGAAUUGACGGAAGGGCACCACCAGGUGUGGAGCCUGCGGCUUAAUUUGACUCAACACGGGGAAACUCACCAGGUCCAGACACGACAAGGAUUGACAGAUUGAUAGCUCUUUCUUGAUUUCGUGGUUGGUGGUGCAUGGCCGUUCUUAGUUGGUGGAGUGAUUUGUCUGGUUAAUUCCGAUAACGAACGAGACCUUAACCUGCUAAAUAGCCCGGCCGACUUUGGUUGGUCGCUGGCUUCUUAGAGGGACUAUCGACGUCUAGUCGAUGGAAGUUUGAGGCAAUAACAGGUCUGUGAUGCCCUUAGAUGUUCUGGGCCGCACGCGCGCUACACUGACCGAACCAGCGAGUUUUUUUCCUUGGCCGGAAGGCCUGGGUAAUCUUGUGAAAUUCGGUCGUGAUGGGGAUAGAGCAUUGCAAUUAUUGCUCUUCAACGAGGAAUACCUAGUAAGCGUGAGUCAUCAGCUCGCGUUGAAUUCGUCCCUGCCCUUUGUACACACCGCCCGUCGCUACUACCGAUUGAAUGGCUA
rnacentral:rRNA from 1 species